AUGGUUAAUACCGAACUAUCUGGUGGUUUGCUUGAUCCCGACGAUACUCCAUUCUUAAUCACCAAGAACAUAUUACGCCAGCUUAUUCGUGAUGAAGUUACUAGCGUAUUCCAGGAACAAAGGGAUAGUUUCAUGGAACCAAUGUUUCGACGCAUGGCCGGAAUGGAAGCGACUUUUGCUUCACUGUAUAAUCAAAUCUCGUCACAGACCAAUCAAACGAAUGUUGAUCCAAAAGUGUUGGAAAAUUUCGAGUUUGAUACCAUCGACAGUGGCGAAGCAUUGACUGAACUUGACGAGCGACUUAAAAACGAUGAUCAGUAUAAAAAUACGUUUGUUGCAUGGGUUCAAAGGUACAUUAACGUGCCAAUAAGUACAAAAAGGAUGUCGAAACUGCUCAAAGCGUUAUUUACACCCAAAUUUCUUUGCCUUCUGACAUGGAGUGGAAGAGGAAAAAGAGCAAUGUACACUUUGUCAAAUUAUAAAGGAAUAAUAGACUUGUUUAAAACUGUAGGAAGUACUGAACUUUCCAAAGUAGGGGACCGUGAAGUUGCAGAUUUCUUCAUCCUUAAAUUGAGAUACGCUACAUACUAUCUAAGCCGGCAGGAAUGCAACCAAACAAAUAGUUGAGGAAUCUUUAAGUUUAAUUGAGGUUUAAAAGCCUUUGACUUUACACUUCAUUGAAUUUCACCUCUUAAUUCAUGUGAUAUCUUAGAACUCUUAUAUAUACAAUACAAUGCAGUACAAAAUAAAUGAAAUCG